rnacentral:tRNA from 1 species
GCUCUGGUAGCCCAAUCGGUAGAGGCGGCGGUCUCAGAAGCCGCGCGAUGCUGGUUCGAAUCCAGCCCAGAGCACCA